rnacentral:lncRNA from 1 species
GUACUCGACGAUGGGGACAAGACAUAUCCAGGGUCGGGACAGGCAGGGGGAGGCGCACUCACGCGGUGGCUGCGCCUGGCUGCCGGGGACCGUGGGACAUGGCCACUCCGGGGGGGUCCUGGAACAGAAGCCGGCAAAGGUUAGGGGGUUCCUGCCUGCCACCCCGACGGGACCGCAGGCCGGUCCCCGGGGUGCCCAAGCGGGGGAGGCUGAUCCCGGGGCGGGUAGGUCCUGGGGCGGGAGGCCCCGCGAUCCUUUGUUGCGAGAUCGAGUCCCGGAGGCCGCGCCCCGCAGCCUCCGCCCCGCGCAGGCCCCGACUUCCCGGCUCUUUUCACCUCUGAAAAAACUUUCCCGGGACCUGGGAUGCGGCGACGCUCCAACCAAGCGCCCGCGCCCGCUCCUCCCUCAUGCUAAUAAACCCAAGCCUAGCGCUUCAA